CCUACGGGUGUCAGCAGUGGGGAAUAUUGGACAAUGGGCGAAAGCCUGAUCCAGCCAUGCCGCGUGUGUGAAGAAGGCCUUCGGGUUGUAAAGCACUUUCAGUGGGGAAGAAAGCCUUGGGGCUAAUACCCUCGAGGAAGGACAUCACCCACAGAAGAAGCACCGGCUAACUCCGUGCCAGCAGCCGCGGUAAUACGGAGGGUGCGAGCGUUAAUCGGAAUUACUGGGCGUAAAGCGCGCGUAGGCGGUCUGAUAAGCCGGUUGUGAAAGCCCCGGGCUCAACCUGGGAACGGCAUCCGGAACUGUCAGGCUAGAGUGCAGGAGAGGAAGGUAGAAUUCCCGGUGUAGCGGUGAAAUGCGUAGAGAUCGGGAGGAAUACCAGUGGCGAAGGCGGCCUUCUGGACUGACACUGACGCUGAGGUGCGAAAGCGUGGGUAGCAAACAGGAUUAGAUACCCCAGUAGUC
rnacentral:rRNA from 1 species